AUGGAUCAGGACAAGGACAAGGACAAGGACAAGGACGAUGAGGAAUAUGAGGAGCAAAAUCUAUUUAUAGUCCCGCCACAACCGAGUGCUGAUAUGUCGGAUGAUGAUACAUCAGAAGGGUAUAAGGAAUCAGCUGAUGAACUAGAACGUGACACUAUGUCCGAGGAAUCACUUGUGCAUGUUGUAUCUAGUGAGGAGGAGGCAAGAGAAAGGAAAAAGAACAAGAGGCCAAGAGCCAAUGCUCCUGUUAGGAUGUCAUCGGAUGUUUGGGCCCAUUUUCACAAGGUCAAAGAGCCAUCGACGGAGCAUCCGGGAGAGAUUGUGUUGAAGGAUGUUUGUAAUUAUUGUCCCAAAAAGUGGUAUGCGUAUACGCAAGGUGGCAGCACCUCAACUAUUGGAAGGCAUAUUUUAAAAUGUGAAGGUUUAAGGAACAAGAUCGCUAGGAAUGCCAUCCAAACAACUCUUGAACUGCGCAAAAUCAAUGGUCCAACAAGUGCUCCAACAAUGCACCCCUCUAUUGAGUACAACCAAGGAAUCGUCAAGGAGCUUAUUGCUAAGAUGAUAUGUGUGCAUGAGUAUUCAUUUAGAAUGGUUGAACAUGAGUGGUUCAACAUUCUGAUGAAGUGCAUGAAUCCAAAUUAUAAACCCAUUGGAAGGAAGGCAAUAUGA
rnacentral:rRNA from 1 species